rnacentral:rRNA from 1 species
AGAGUUUGAUCCUGGCUCAGGAUUAACGUUGGUAGUAUGCCUAACACAUGCAAGUCGAGCGGAGAGUAGUAGCAAUAUUGCUUUUAGCGGCGAACGGGUGAGUAAUACUUAUCUUACUUGCCAAUUAGUGGGGGAUAACUAUGGGAAACCAUGGCUAAUACCGCAUUUGUUACUUUGGUAAUGAAAGGGGGUUGCAAGACUUUCGCUAAUUGAUAGGGAUAAGCCGUAUUAGUUAGUUGGUGGGGUAAUGGCCUACCAAGACAAUGAUGCGUAGCCAGUCUGAGAGGAUGAAUGGCCACAAGGGAACUGAGACACGGUCCCUACUCCUACGGGAGGCAGCAGUGAGGAAUUUUCGGCAAUGGGGGAAACCCUGACCGAGCAAUACUACGUGAAGGAGGAAGGUCUAAGGAUUGUAAACUUCUGUUAGCGCGGAAGAAGGGCUAAACGUGAGUUUAGUUUUGACGGUACGCGCAGAGAAAGCAACGACUAACUAUGUGCCAGCAGUCGCGGUAAGACAUAGGUUGCGAACGUUAUCCGGAAUUAUUGGGCGUAAAGGAUGCGUAGAUGGUUUGAUAAGUUAUCAGUGGCAAAUCGGGGCUCAACCUCGUGGAAGUUGGUAAUACUGUCAUACUUGAGUGCAGGAGAGGUUAACGGAACUCUAUAUGGAGCGGUAAAAUGUGACGAUAUAUAGAAGAACACCAAUAAGGCGAAGGCAGUUAACUAUUCUGUUACUGACAUUGAGGCAUGAAAGCGUGGGGAGCAAAACGGAUUAGAUACCCUAGUAGUCC